AGUAUAUCAGAUCAUACAAAAGAAAAGAUCUCUUGGUGGCUAGAGGAAAAAUUCAUUACAGAAGGCCUGUCUUUUCGUCAAAAAUCUUGGAUCGUGAUUUCUACAGACGCUUCAAAUACAGGUUGGGGAGCUCACCUCCUGUAUCACUUGAGACAAGGUGUUUGGUCGAAAAAGGAAACAAAGGAAUCUUCAAAUUUCAGGGAGUUGUUGGCAGUUCUCUAUGCUCUUCAGCAGUUCAAGGAUUUCAUUAUAGGAAAAGCUGUAAAGAUCUAGUCGGACAAUCAGACUACAGUCUCCUACCUAAACAAACAAGGCGAUACAAGGGAAAAAAAUUGUAUUUCCUUUGCUCACGGAUUAUGUCCUGGGCUCAAAGUCAUCUAGACAACAUUUCCGCCAUUCACAUUCGAGGAGUAGACAACAUGGUAGUGCACGAUUUAAGCAGAUCAAAAUGGUCCCAGAACCAAUGGUCUCUCAAUCUAGAU